rnacentral:rRNA from 1 species
GGGAAUCUUCCACAAUGGACGCAAGUCUGAUGGAGUAACGCCGCGUGAGUGAAGAAGGUUUUCGGAUCGUAAAGCUCUGUUGUUGGUGAAGAAGGAUAGAGGUAGUAACUGGCCUUUAUUUGACGGUAAUCAACCAGAAAGUCACGGCUAACUACGUGCCAGCAGCCGCGGUAAUACGUAGGUGGCAAGCGUUGUCCGGAUUUAUUGGGCGUAAAGCGAGCGCAGGCGGAAGAAUAAGUCUGAUGUGAAAGCCCUCGGCUUAACCGAGGAAUUGCAUCGGAAACUGUUUUCUUGAGUGCAGAAGAGGAGAGUGGAACUCCAUGUGUAGCGGUGGAAUGCGUAGAUAUAUGGAAGAACACCAGUGGCGAAGGCGGCUCUCUGGUCUGCAACUGACGCUGAGGCUCGAAAGCAUGGGUAGCGAACAGGAUUAGAUAC